ACUGCCCCUUGAGGCAUUGUAGAUGUGGGUGCUGUGUCACAUUUGUGUCAUUAGGUGGCAGAGAGCGGAGAGGCCUGUCUAUACCCAGUGUUCUGGCAUGAGUGCCUGGAUGAUUGAUGGUCUGACACU